AGGAGCCCAGAGCCUGAAUCAGUGUGUGUGUUAGUGGAAGCGUCUGGAAAGGCGCGCGAUACAGGGUGACAGCCCCGUACACAAAAAUGCACAUAUUGUGAGCUCGAUGAGUAGGGCGGGACACGUGGUAUCCUGUCUGAAUAUGGGGGGACCAUCCUCCAAGGCUAAAUACUCCUGACUGACCGAUAGUGAACCAGUACCGUGAGGGAAAGGCGAAAAGAACCCCGGCGAGGGGAGUGAAAAAGAACCUGAAACCGUGUACGUACAAGCAGUGGGAGCCUCUUAAUGGGGUGACUGCGUACCUUUUGUAUAAUGGGUCAGCGACUUAUAUUCUGUAGCAAGGUUAACCGAAUAGGGGAGCCGAAGGGAAACCGAGUCUUAACUGGGCGUUAAGUUGCAGGGUAUAGACCCGAAACCCGGUGAUCUAGCCAUGGGCAGGUUGAAGGUUGGGUAACACUAACUGGAGGACCGAACCGACUAAUGUUGAAAAAUUAGCGGAUGACUUGUGGCUGGGGGUGAAAGGCCAAUCAAACCGGGAGAUAGCUGGUUCUCCCCGAAAGCUAUUUAGGUAGCGCCUCGUGAAUUCAUCUCCGGGGGUAGAGCACUGUUUCGGCAAGGGGGUCAUCCCGACUUACCAACCCGAUGCAAACUGCGAAUACCGGAGAAUGUUAUCACGGGAGACACACGGCGGGUGCUAACGUCCGUCGUGAAGAGGGAAACAACCCAGACCGCCAGCUAAGGUCCCAAAGUCAUGGUUAAGUGGGAAACGAUGUGGGAAGGCCCAGACAGCCAGGAUGUUGGCUUAGAAGCAGCCAUCAUUUAAAGAAAGCGUAAUAGCUCACUGGUCGAGUCGGCCUGCGCGGAAGAUGUAACGGGGCUAAACCAUGCACCGAAGCUGCGGCAGCGACACUAUGUGUUGUUGGGUAGGGGAGCGUUCUGUAAGCCUGCGAAGGUGUGCUGUGAGGCAUGCUGGAGGUAUCAGAAGUGCGAAUGCUGACAUAAGUAACGAUAAAGCGGGUGAAAAGCCCGCUCGCCGGAAGACCAAGGGUUCCUGUCCAACGUUAAUCGGGGCAGGGUGAGUCGACCCCUAAGGCGAGGCCGAAAGGCGUAGUCGAUGGGAAACAGGUUAAUAUUCCUGUACUUGGUGUUACUGCGAAGGGGGGACGGAGAAGGCUAUGUUGGCCGGGCGACGGUUGUCCCGGUUUAAGCGUGUAGGCUGGUUUUCCAGGCAAAUCCGGAAAACCAAGGCUGAGGCGUGAUGACGAGGCACUACGGUGCUGAAGCGACAAAUGCCCUGCUUCCAGGAAAAGCCUCUAAGCAUCAGGUAACAUCAAAUCGUACCCCAAACCGACACAGGUGGUCAGGUAGAGAAUACCAAGGCGCUUGAGAGAACUCGGGUGAAGGAACUAGGCAAAAUGGUGCCGUAACUUCGGGAGAAGGCACGCUGAUAUGUAGGUGAAGCGACUUGCUCGUGGAGCUGAAAUCAGUCGAAGAUACCAGCUGGCUGCAACUGUUUAUUAAAAACACAGCACUGUGCAAACACGAAAGUGGACGUAUACGGUGUGACGCCUGCCCGGUGCCGGAAGGUUAAUUGAUGGGGUUAGCGGUAACGCGAAGCUCUUGAUCGAAGCCCCGGUAAACGGCGGCCGUAACUAUAACGGUCCUAAGGUAGCGAAAUUCCUUGUCGGGUAAGUUCCGACCUGCACGAAUGGCGUAAUGAUGGCCAGGCUGUCUCCACCCGAGACUCAGUGAAAUUGAACUCGCUGUGAAGAUGCAGUGUACCCGCGGCAAGACGGAAAGACCCCGUGAACCUUUACUAUAGCUUGACACUGAACAUUGAGCCUUGAUGUGUAGGAUAGGUGGGAGGCUUUGAAGUGUGGACGCCAGUCUGCAUGGAGCCGACCUUGAAAUACCACCCUUUAAUGUUUGAUGUUCUAACGUUGGCCCGUAAUCCGGGUUGCGGACAGUGUCUGGUGGGUAGUUUGACUGGGGCGGUCUCCUCCUAAAGAGUAACGGAGGAGCACGAAGGUUGGCUAAUCCUGGUCGGACAUCAGGAGGUUAGUGCAAUGGCAUAAGCCAGCUUGACUGCGAGCGUGACGGCGCGAGCAGGUGCGAAAGCAGGUCAUAGUGAUCCGGUGGUUCUGAAUGGAAGGGCCAUCGCUCAACGGAUAAAAGGUACUCCGGGGAUAACAGGCUGAUACCGCCCAAGAGUUCAUAUCGACGGCGGUGUUUGGCACCUCGAUGUCGGCUCAUCACAUCCUGGGGCUGAAGUAGGUCCCAAGGGUAUGGCUGUUCGCCAUUUAAAGUGGUACGCGAGCUGGGUUUAGAACGUCGUGAGACAGUUCGGUCCCUAUCUGCCGUGGGCGCUGGAGAACUGAGGGGGGCUGCUCCUAGUACGAGAGGACCGGAGUGGACGCAUCACUGGUGUUCGGGUUGUCAUGCCAAUGGCACUGCCCGGUAGCUAAAUGCGGAAGAGAUAAGUGCUGAAAGCAUCUAAGCACGAAACUUGCCCCGAGAUGAGUUCUCCCUGACUCCUUGAGGGUCCUGAAGGAACGUUGAAGACGACGACGUUGAUAGGCCGGGUGUGUAAGCGCAGCGAUGCGUUGAGCUAACCGGUACUAAUGAACCGUGAGGCUUAACCUU
rnacentral:rRNA from 1 species